rnacentral:rRNA from 1 species
GACGAACGCUGGCGGCGUGCCUAAUACAUGCAAGUCGAGCGGACGGAUGGGAGCUUGCUCCCAGCCCGUCAGCGGCGGACGGGUGAGUAACACGUGGGCAACCUGCCUGUAAGACUGGGAUAACUCCGGGAAACCGGGGCUAAUACCGGAUAACUCUUUCCCUCACAUGAGGGAAAGCUGAAAGAUGGCAUCUCGCUAUCACUUACAGAUGGGCCCGCGGCGCAUUAGCUAGUUGGUGAGGUAACGGCUCACCAAGGCGACGAUGCGUAGCCGACCUGAGGGGGUGAUCGGCCACACUGGGACUGAGACACGGCCCAGACUCCUACGGGAGGCAGCAGUAGGGAAUCUUCCGCAAUGGACGAAAGUCUGACGGAGCAACGCCGCGUGAGUGAUGAAGGUUUUCGGAUCGUAAAACUCUGUUGUCAGGGAAGAACAAGUACCGGAGUAACUGCCGGUACCUUGACGGUACCUGACCAGAAAGCCACGGCUAACUACGUG